rnacentral:misc_RNA from 1 species
UCCGGUUUGGCACCGGCGGUCUCCCUAGAGUCCCCGGCAUGACCCGCUGGCAACUAGGAACAGGGGUUGCGCUCGUUGCGGCACUUAAGCCAACACCUCACGGCACGAGCUGACGACAGCCAUGCAGCACCUGUGCUAGCCCUAUAACGACACGGGCUUUCACCCGCUUUAACUAGCAUGUCAAGCCUAGGUAAGGUUCUUCGCGUUGCAUCGAAUUAAGCCACAUGCUCCGCCGCUUGUGCGGGUCCCCGUCAAUUCCUUUGAGUUUUAACCUUGCGGCCGUACUCCCCAGGCGGAACACUUAACGCGUUGGCUGCGGCACAGGGGGAUUCGACUCCCCCCACACCUAGUGCCCAACGUUUACAGCUAGGACUAC